rnacentral:misc_RNA from 1 species
GAAAUGCGAUAAGUAAUGUGAAUUGCAGAAUUCAGUGAAUCAUCGAAUCUUUGAACGCACCUUGCGCUCCUUGGUAUUCCUUGGAGCAUGCCUGAUUGAGUAUCAUGAAAUCUUCAAAGUAAAUCUUUUGUUAACUCAAUUGGUUUCUACUUUGGUAUUGGAGGUCUUUGCAGCUUCACACCUGCUCCUCUUUGUUCAUUAGCUGGAUCUCAGUGUUAUGCUUGGUUCCACUCGGCGUGAUAAGUUAUCUAUCGCUGAGGACACUGUAAAAGGUGGCCAAGGUAAAUGCAGAUGAACCGCUUCUAAUAGUCCAUUGACUUGGACAAUACUUUUAUGAUCUGAUCUCAAAUCAGGUAGGACUACCCGCUGAACUGAAG